AGAGUUUGAUCCUGGCUCAGAUUGAACGCUGGCGGCAGGCCUAACACAUGCAAGUCGAGCGGUAGCACAGAGAGCUUGCUCUCGGGUGACGAGCGGCGGACGGGUGAGUAAUGUCUGGGAAACUGCCUGAUGGAGGGGGAUAACUACUGGAAACGGUAGCUAAUACCGCAUAACGUCGCAAGACCAAAGUGGGGGACCUUCGGGCCUCAUGCCAUCAGAUGUGCCCAGAUGGGAUUAGCUAGUAGGUGGGGUAAUGGCUCACCUAGGCGACGAUCCCUAGCUGGUCUGAGAGGAUGACCAGCCACACUGGAACUGAGACACGGUCCAGACUCCUACGGGAGGCAGCAGUGGGGAAUAUUGCACAAUGGGCGCAAGCCUGAUGCAGCCAUGCCGCGUGUAUGAAGAAGGCCUUCGGGUUGUAAAGUACUUUCAGCGAGGAGGAAGGCAUUAAGGUUAAUAACCUUAGUGAUUGACGUUACUCGCAGAAGAAGCACCGGCUAAC
rnacentral:rRNA from 1 species